AUACGGAGGGUGCGAGCGUUAAUCGGAAUUACUGGGCGUAAAGCGCGCGUAGGCGGUUUGGUCAGUCGGAUGUGAAAGCCCCGGGCUUAACCUGGGAAUUGCAUUCGAUACUGCCAGGCUAGAAUGUAGUAGAGGGAAGUGGAAUUCCGGGUGUAGCGGUGAAAUGCGUAGAUAUCCGGAGGAACAUCAGUGGCGAAGGCGACUUCCUGGACUAACAUUGACGCUGAGGUGCGAAAGCGUGGGGAGCAAACAGGAUUAGAUACCCCAGUAGUCC
rnacentral:rRNA from 1 species